rnacentral:rRNA from 1 species
GAACGCAGCGAAUGCGGAUACUGGUGUGAAUUGCAGAAUCCCGCGAACCAUCAAUUCUUUGAACGCAAGUUGCGCCCGAAGCCAUUCGGCCGAGGGCACGCCUGCCUGGGYGUCGUGAAUCCCCUUGCCCCKAGGCACCCCGCACGAGCAUYGGCGGGGGAUUAUAUGCUCGGGCGCAGAAURUGGUCUCCCGUGGGAUCGGCAUGCACGGCRUGUCGAGGUGCGGUUGGCCGAAAAUCGAGCAUGGCGGUGACGGGCCCCACGGCGUUCGGAUGGAUCGAAUGAGAUUGGCUSCGCCGUGGGCUCGKCAUGCGGCGGGCUCCGGACUUUGAAUAYCCCCGAGUGCGAUCCCAGGUCAGGCGGGGCUACCCGCUGAGUUUAAGCAUAUCAAUAAGCGGAGGAAAAGAAACUAACGAGGAUUCCCUUAGUAGCGGCGAGCGAACCGGGAAGAGCCCAGCGUGAAAAUCGWCCGUCAUCGGCGGCCGAAUUGUAGUCUGGAGAAGCGUCCU